rnacentral:lncRNA from 1 species
GAAAACAGUGAUAUAUUUCCUCUCACUGCGGUGAAAGCUGUAGCAGAGCUUUACUGCUGGAAACUGGGAAAUGCGACCUGACUUUUCAGUGCUUCCCACAAUUCCCAUUGAAGUUGUUCUACUCAAAGUUCCCCUGAAGUGCUGAAGUACUGAAGUGCAAUCAGAGAUUGGAAAACGUUCUGUGAGAGCCUCCUGAGGACUGGACUGGAAUUUGCCUUCUUGUACUUUAGCUCAGAGAUCAAACACUUUUACAGAGAAGAAAAAGAGUGCUUUUGGUUUUCUCUUUUUCCUAAUGUACCAACUUAAAGGUGUCAUCCCUUGG